AACACGUGAGUAACCUGCCCCUGACUCUGGGAUAAGCCCGGGAAACUGGGUCUAAUACUGGAUAUGCACCGUGAACCGCAUGGUUCUUGGUGGAAAGAUUUUUUGGUCAGGGAUGGACUCGCGGCCUAUCAGCUUGUUGGUGAGGUAAUGGCUCACCAAGGCGACGACGGGUAGCCGGCCUGAGAGGGUGACCGGCCACACUGGGACUGAGACACGGCCCAGACUCCUACGGGAGGCAGCAGUGGGGAAUAUUGCACAAUGGGCGAAAGCCUGAUGCAGCGACGCCGCGUGAGGGAUGACGGCCUUCGGGUUGUAAACCUCUUUCAGUAGGGAAGAAGCGAAAGUGACGGUACCUGCAGAAGAAGCGCCGGCUAACUACGUGCCAGCAGCCGCGGUAAUACGUAGGGCGCAAGCGUUAUCCGGAAUUAUUGGGCGUAAAGAGCUCGUAGGCGGUUUGUCGCGUCUGCCGUGAAAGUCCGAGGCUCAACCUCGGAUCUGCGGUGGGUACGGGCAGACUAGAGUGAUGUAGGGGAGACUGGAAUUCCUGGUGUAGCGGUGAAAUGCGCAGAUAUCAGGAGG
rnacentral:rRNA from 1 species